GAAGCUGCAGGGGUCCUGGGUGGAGCUGCACUUCAGCAAUGGCAGCAGCAGCUCCGUGUCCACGGGCAGCCAGGAGCAGGUGCCAGCCUCGCUCUCCAUCCACAACGGGGACAUGGAGAAGAUCCUGCUGGACGCCCAGCAUGAGUCGGGCAGGAGCAGCUCCAGGGAGAGCUCCCACUGUGACAGCCCUCCUCGCUCGCAGACCCCCCAGGACAGCCACAGAGCUCUGGAGAUAGAGAGCCACAGCAGUGGGGAGAAGAACAGCUUCCAGGUAAGGUCCUCACCUGGCU